rnacentral:rRNA from 2 species
CAAUUUAAACAACGAAGAGUUUGAUCCUGGCUCAGGAUGAACGCUAGCGACAGGCUUAACACAUGCAAGUCGAGGGGCAGCACAGGUAGCAAUACCGGGUGGCGACCGGCGCACGGGUGAGUAACGCGUAUGCAACUUACCUAUCAGAGGGGGAUAACCCGGCGAAAGUCGGACUAAUACCGCAUGAAGCAGGGGCCCCGCAUGGGGAU